rnacentral:rRNA from 1 species
UCGGAGAAGGAUCGGCCCGCGUUGGAUUAGGUAGUUGGUGGGGUAAUGGCUCACCAAGCCGACGAUCCAUAGCUGGUUUGAGAGGAUGAUCAGCCACACUGGGACUGAGACACGGCCCAG